UGGACAGGGAGGGGGCUCCAGCUGAAGGAAGAGAGGGCACUGUGACUUCACUCCACUCCACUCCCACUCCCUUCUCCUGACCUUUGCCCAGAGCACCAGCCAAUUCUGGAUCCUUGAUGUGGAUUCUUCGCUAAGCAAGGGCCUCCUUUAACAGAAAACGCUUUACAUGGGUCUCCUUGUGCCCUGAACUCCUCCCUCCGGUGCCUCAGGGCCCAGAUGACAGCCAUUUAGCUGUCCUGGGGCCUGGUCCAGCUGCGUGUAAUGUGAUGCUGCUCCUUGGAGGCCACCAACGGUCCCAGCCUUUCCCGGGCCAAACGUGGAGUGGAGAUACCACAUCAAGAGAUCAGCCAGCCUGACUCCAGAGGGACAGCUCCGCCGUCCCCAGAUGUCGCGGGUGUCCUGGUAACCGGCAGCAAGGAGAUUCCUGGAAGCAAGGCUCUGGGGACCAUGGCCUGGCCCUGCUGAGUGCCACCAUCCUGGGCCAAGCCACCAUCCCCUCCUGCCUGGAUGACAACAGCAGCUCUGGGACACCCCCUUGCAUCCAAGCUUGCCUCCUCCCCUUCACCAUUGCCCACGGAAAUGAAGCUGGAUUGGUCUUCCUAAAGCGAGAAUAAACUCAUCUGCCACAAACCCCUGAGGCCUCCAUUCUUCUCAGUGCAG
rnacentral:lncRNA from 1 species